CAGAUCACGUUGAAGCACCGGUCCCCGUAUGAUCACCGAAGUUAAGCAACGUCGAACCUGAUCAGUACCUAAAUGGGUGAUCGCUUAGGAAUACCAGGUGCUGUAAG